rnacentral:rRNA from 1 species
GACGAACGCUGGCGGCGUGCUUAACACAUGCAAGUCGAACGGAAAGGCCCUGCUUUUGUGGGGUGCUCGAGUGGCGAACGGGUGAGUAACACGUGAGUAACCUGCCCUUGACUUUGGGAUAACUUCAGGAAACUGGGGCUAAUACCGGAUAGGAGCUCCUGCUGCAUGGUGGGGGUUGGAAAGUUUCGGCGGUUGGGGUUGGACUCGCGGCUUAUCAGCUUGUUGGUGGGGUAGUGGCUUACCAAGGCUUUGACGGGUAGCCGGCCCGAGAGGGUGACCGGCCACAUUGGGACUGAGAUACGGCCCAGACUCCUACGGGAGGCAGCAGUGGGGAAUAUUGCACAAUGGGCGGAAGCCUGAUGCAGCAACGCCGCGUGCGGGAUGACGGCCUUCGGGUUGUAAACCGCUUUCGCCUGUGACGAAGCGUGAGUGACGGUAAUUGGUAAAGAAGCACCGGCUAACUACGUG